GUCUCCCUGUGUCACCCAGGCUGGGCUUGUCUCGGACUACUGGGCUCAAGCGAUCUGUCUGCCUUGGCCUCCCAAACUGCUAUUACAAGUAUGAGCCACCGCACCCAGCCUCUUUUACCUUUUUUUUUUUUUUUUUUUGAGACAGAGUCUUGCUCUGUCACCCAGACUGGAGUGCAGUGGCGCGAUCUCGAUCUCGGCUCACUGCAACCUUUGCCUCUCAGGUUCAAAUGAUUCUGGUGCCUCAGCCUCCUUACUAGCUGGGAUUACAGGCACACACCACCAUGCCUGGCUAAUUUUUAUAUUUUAUAUUUUUAUA
rnacentral:lncRNA from 10 species